UUUUUUUUUUUUUUUUAGUCUUUUUGCCAUUUUUUGGGCCGCUCCUGCAGCAUAUGCAGGUUCCCAGGCUAGUGGUCAAAUCAGAGCUGUAGCCAUCGGCCUACACCACAGCCCCAGCAACGCGGGAUCCAAGCCAUGUCUGCAACCUACACCACAGCUCACGGCAACGGUGGAUCCCUAACCCACUGAGCAAGGCCAGGGAUCGAACCCACAACCUCAUGCUUCCUAGUCAGAUUCGUUAACCACUGCGCCACGACGGGAACUCCGAAAGUAUUACUUUCUUGCCCUAAAGGUAUUACAGUCAGGAGAGGGAGAUUGACCAGCAAACAGGUAAUUCAAAGGCACUGUGAUCUGUACAUGUACUAAGAGAGUCCAUGAGAGGUACAUGGAUCCCGGACUGUACCAGUCAGAACAUACGAAGCGAAGGAUUAAGGGAGAACUGGGCAGUGUUGAAUCUGCAUGAUCCAGAGAGAAACACCCAAUGUGACCAAGACAGACUUUCAGUCAUGGGAAAAGCAUCUCCAUGAGUGAAGGAGAGAUGGCUGACUAGGUCCUUCCACAGGCUAAUGAAAUCAGUGCUCACUAACCAACACUCUUAUUAUUAGUUUACCUUACCAAGUACCCUAAUUCCAGCAAAGGAACACCACUGCAAGAGGAAAACACGCACAUUCCAGAUGCUGGAAGUGAACGGCCCACUCUGGAAACUGCUUAAGCCUCUUGUGAGGAGAUUGCCCUGAAUCACCUUCCUGAUGCUUUUCAGCUCUGAGGGACUGACCGAGCUGAGGGCCAGACUGGGGGGGGCUUGCAAAACUCACCACAGGUAAUGUCACCUCUGAGGCCUCCGAGAGCUGAUUUUCAGCCUUCUCUUGGCUGCACUCUAACCCGCUCAAGAACCUCUCUGCAACUUUUUAACAGUGAGCACGAACUAGAUGCCAUCAACUAGCUUGGUGGAAACAUAAAACCCAUUUUCUUUUUAUGACAACAUCUCCUUUCCUUUGACAAACCCAGUUACUGCCCACUAGCAAAAAAAAAAAAAGAAAAAAGAAAAACUAAAUUUGGUCCAAUCAGAAAACAUGGUCCAGACCAGUAAAUUUUCUACUUGUUUCUAACUUAAAAUUGAGCAUCUCUUGGGAAAAUAUUCAAUUCAAUGCAGGUAUUAUUAUUAUUAUUACCUGUCACUGUCCAGCUGAGUGUUCCUUCUCUCUGCCUACAAUUUUCCUCCUCUCCAAUGGACUGAAUAUUCGUGUCCUACCCCAAAUGUAUAUGUUGAAAUCCUAAUCCUCAAUGUGAUGAUAUUAGAAGGUGGGGCCUCUGGUAGGCAAUUAGGUCAAGAGGGCAGAGUCCUUAAAUAGAAUUAGCAACCUUAUACAAGAGACCCUAGAGACCCCCAUAGCCCCCUUCCACCACUUGGGGACACAGUAAGACAGCCAUCUCUAAAUCAGAAACUAGAUUCUUACCAGACACCAAAUCCUCCAGUAUCUUGAUCUUGGACCCUGCAGCUUCCAGAGCUGUGAGAAGUACAUUUCUAUUGUUUACAAGCCACACAGUUGGUAGCUUGUUACAGCAUCCCAGGUGGACUAAGUUACCUCUAUCCAUCUAACUCUCAGGAGGCCUCUGGCCCAUCACCUGUGUGGUAUAAGACCUAAAAUUAAGACCCAAUGGUAUGUGUUGCUUUUUAAAAUCGGGGAGGCCCUCCAAGAGCCUGAUUCCAAAUUCUCCUCCCUGCUCUGCUCUGUGUAGUCUGCCCCCGAGGCAAACAACCUCCGGAGGCGGGGACCAGCACAGGUGCUGCUUAUCCUCAGCAGCAGAUUUCAAUUCCCAGCCCACCCACAGAAUCACUGAAGGAAGGUAAUCACAUCAUGCCAUGGGUCCCAUCGCCCUCUUGGUCCUACAAAGGCUGCCUUCCACCAUCUCUGGUUGUUUACUUAGUUCCAGAGCACAACCCUAGGUGGCCUGCCAUGGCUUGCAGGGCCCCUCCUGGGGCUAUGGGUAUCUGUAAGGAAUGAAUCUCAUCUGUCCAGUGCUGGGUGUCCUGUGUUUGGUCACCUUCAUAAGUCUAGAGCAGGAAUCCCUCUCCCACCAACAGGGUAAAUAAGAGGCGAUGAAAACACCCAGCAGCGGCAGCGGCAGCGGGAAGGAACGGAGCUCUCAGUUACAUGACUGCCUGUGCGCUGGGUGUGGGGAGCUUUCUUCAUCUCAAUCUGGCUGCCAGACUCCUUAGUCUUGUCACUGACACAGGUAUUUUAUCACUGCUGAUUCUCUGGAGUGGUCCUUUAGAUGGUCUACAGCAGUCUAGAAAGGCCUUGCGGCAGUGUCCUGGGCGGUCCUAUAAGGAGAACCCUUAGCAGGAGGUCUGUCCCACAGACUUAGCAUUUGAGGUCUUAGCCCCACUGGAAGCCUCUUGUUUUCACGUACCUGAAAAGCCAACCAGGAUCUCAGCUACCUUCCUACUGACUCCAAAGCCAGAGGAAACCUAGGAAUUUCCCCAGGCUGAGCUUGGCUCCAGAGAAAGCUAACGGUGACCUUUUGCUUCUUCUGAGUCACGUUACCAUCUCAUCCGGGUCCUUCAUGCUCCAAAGGCAACAGAGGGCUCUGCAAAGUCUGAUGCUCAGUAAACUUUAGAAAUGGUGUAUCUGUUUCUUACUUGCUAGUCUCAAGGUGCAUCACUAAAAAUGAUGGUUUAAAAUAUGGUUCCCAUGUGUGGACAUGUGGUCAGAAUAAAUCUGUGCAUUCAAAUGCCUUCUUUUUCUCCCUUCCGCCACCCAUCCUUCCCUUCCUAGCCAUGCUUCGCAAGUGUUUUUGUGCUCACUUUCUUUACUUCCUUUGUUGUUCCUCUUUACCCUUUGUUACAAUCUGACUCCAUUCCCUGGAACUCCUCUCCGUAAGGUCAUCAUUUAUCUUCAAACUGUCAAAUUCAGUGACAGUGUACGUCCUGCUUUCCUUUGACCCCACUGUGGCAUUUGACACUGCUGUCCUCUCUCUCCUCCAAACUCACUGUAGCAUUAGUGACACCAUGCUUGCCUAGCUGGCCACCUCCUUCUCCGAUCAUUUUCCAGUCUCUUGCAAAGUAGGCUUUUGCAGCGAUGCCUCCGGUGAUGGUGCCACUGAUGCUCGGGGACUGAUUCUCUGUCCUGUGCUCCUCUGUUCAAGUGUGGUCUCAUGUUGAAGUCUCUGCUCUCCUUCAAUGCGCACUUACCACCCAGUGCCUCCAACCCCUUACAGACAGCUCGGACAUCACCGCGGGGCUCUGGACCCACAAAGUCUCCUCUGUCUUUGACAUUUCUGACUGACAGUUGCUGAAUCACUUCCAUUCAACAUGAAUUAAAACAUCUUAUUCCCCUAACUGAAGGUCCAGUCAUUCCCUCAGUUCCAGUCAUUCUAGACUCCGUUCCUUCUAUCCCCAUCUCCUAAAUGUAGGGUUUUACUUCCUAAAUAUGUUAGGGCUCAUCUUCCUGCUUGCCUAUCACACUGCAUGACUUUAGACCCUCAUUUCUUUUCGUCUAGAGUAUUGUGCUGUCAGCAUCCAGGCUGUACAAAUCCUUUCUCGUACCCAAUCUCCAGGGUGAUUUUCUAGAUCUGUAAAUCUGCUCCUGUCAGGCCACUUUCCUGCCUCAAACCCUUUAGGCUCCUAUCACUUUCAGGACAGAAGUCAAACACUUCAGCCUGGCACACAGGCCCAUCAUGAUCCAGAGGCGAGAGGUUCACACGCAUCACACUUACUAGUAAGGACGUAGACAAGUUACUUCCGCUUUCUAUGCCUCACCUACCUCUCUCUGCAAAUGGAGGCAUGACUAGCACGUAAGCGAUACGAAUGUCGGGAGGACUGACUGAAAAGGCAUGUAAAGUAGCUAUGCUAGUCCCAGCAUAGGGCAAGCAACUCAUUUCUGACACUAUCUUUAUUACCAUGCUUCUAAUUCUUCUCUUCUCCUCCCUUUGGUCAUAUUGGUCUGCUUCACAUUUCUGAAAACAGCCUGUGAUUUCAUUCUUUUGGACUUUUUUACUAUGAUGCUUCCUCUGCUUGUAAUGCCUUUCUCCUAUUCUUUAUCUAGCUAACACACACUUACUUUAAAAACUGUUUUUGGGAGUUCCUGUUGUGGCUCAGUGAAAACAAAUCUGACCAGUAUCCAUGAGGAUGCUGGUUUGAUCCCUGGACUCACUCAGUGGGUUAAGGAUCUGGUGUUGCCAUGAGUUGUGAUGUAGGUCGCAGAUGUGGCUUGGAUCCCGUGUUGUUGUGGCUGUGGUGUAGGCCGGCAGCUACAGCUCCGAUUCAACCUCUAGCCUGGGAACUUCUAUUUGCCACAGAUGCAGCCCUAAAAAGCAAACAAACAAAAAACUCUUCUUCUGCCACUUCUUCCAGGAAGCCUUCCCUUGACUAUGCCACUUCAAUCUGAUAGCUUCUUUUGUGCUUCCAUGGCUCUUUAUUAGAUACACUUAUCCCAGGACACAACACUCUACAUAUGACUUGAUUAUAUGCCUAUUUCCUACACAGGACUGUGCGUUCCUUAAAGACAGGAUACAACUUUAUGUACUUAGCUCUAAGAAUAAGGCUUGACACUCUUGAAGUAGGGGUUUAAGAGAGGAUUAUUGGGUGAUUUUAAAAAGUAGUCAUUUCAUUUCAUCAGGUGCUCAGAGAUUCCAGACCACCUUUGCUUCAGAAAUCACCUUCCUCCAAAAUUAUUUUUGAUCUCUUUCCUUCCUCUACUAAAAAUCCCCAAUUCUAAGCAGCACUAUUAGCUUACUGUCAGUUAUGAAACUGAGCUAAUCAACUGAUUAUUAGUUACAGUUCAAUACACUUCUGAAGAGUAUAUGUAUUUUCAAACGAAGCACUUAUUAAGAAAAGAGAAUGAUUUUUUUUUUAGUGAAGGGAUUUUAAAAAGUACAGCAGGAGAAAGGGAGUAAGUAGUAUGAUAAGGCAGGGCAGAUAUAUUCUACAUGGUAAUAUCUUCGUGUUCUUCAUAUAACAUCAAGUGAUUAUCCAGCCUCUGUAAGUAAGACUGAGGGCCGCUGUAUAAGGAGUUGGGCUAGGAAAGCAUCAAGAAAACUUUCAUAAUUAAGCUAACUGCUGAGACACUUGAGUGAUAUCAGUAAUAUAACAGCAGUACAACAAUAUAAAAAUAAAAUCUUGUGGGUUUCUUUUCUUUUCUUUUUAAGGCUGUGCCUGUGGCAUAUGGAAGUUCCCAGGCUAGGGUUGGAAUCUGAGCUUCAGCAGCAGACCUACACCACAGCCACAGCAGCACCAGAUCCGAGCCACAUCUGCCACCUAUGCUGCAGCUGGAGGUGAUGCCGGAUCCUUAACUCACUGAGCGAAGCUAGGGAUUGAACCCGCAUCCUCCCAGACACUAUGUUGGGUUCUUAACCCACAGAGACAGAACGGGAACUUCAAAGAAUAAAAUCUUGAUAGAUGCUACAACAUGCUAAGUGAAAGAAGCUAGAUACAAAAUGCCAAACAUACAGUAUUUAAUUCUAUUUAUAUGAAGUGUCCUGAAUAGGCAAAUCCACAGAGACAGGAAAUAGAUUAGUAGUUGCCAGGGGCUGGAGGAACGGAGUGACUUCUAAUGAGUACAGUUUUCUUUUGGGGCUGAUAAAAAUGUUCUGGAAUUACACAGUAGUGAUCAGUACACAAUCUUGUGACUAACUAAAAGCCACUGAAUGGUACACUUUAGAUAGGUCAAUUUCAUAGUAUGCCAAUUAUAUUUCAAUAAAAAUAUAUGAGAAAAAAAGAUACAUCAAAAAAAAAACACCAACAGAAAAAACAGCAUUAGGUAUUAAUAACUGCAAUUAGAGGGUCCAGAAGUCAAAUCACAGAUUCUAAAUAUAAAGAAUUAUAUAGCCAGCGAUUUUAGCAGCUUAUAUAUUUUUCCAUUUCACCAGUUCCCUGUAUAGCGUAUCCAUUCACUCAUAGACUCUAAAAAUUGUAAUUGUCACUUACUUAUUGUAUGUUUGUACUUUAAUCUUUCAAUUUAUUUAUUUAUUUUUUGUCUUUUGUCUUUUUAGGGCCGCACCCUCGGCAUAUAGAGGUUCCCAGGCUAGGGGUCCAAUCAGAGCUACGGCUGCCAGCUACAGCACCGCCACAGCAACACCAGAUUCGAGCCCUGUCUUCGACGUACACCACAGCUCAUGGCAACACUGGAUCCUUAACCCACUGAGCCAGGCCAGGGAUCAAACCUGAAACCUCAUAGUUCCUAGUUGGACUUGCCUCUGCUGC
rnacentral:lncRNA from 1 species